ACAAAUUUGUCACCAGUUAAUUGCUUCCAAAUUUCAUCUCAAUCUAUAAUUUUCCUCUAACCAAUUAACCUUAAUUGUUUAGUUUCUCUCAUGUUUAAAUAGUCGUUAAUAGUUAAACAUGGUAAUUCUUUUAAAUUCUAUCAUUUUCUUUUUGUUUCAUUCUAUUGUUUACCUUUUUUUUCAUAUUCCCUCUCUUUCUCUGGAUUCAUUUCUUUCUUUUUCUCUUUCUUUCAUUUUUUUCUUCUCUCUCUCUCUCUUUCCUUGUAUGUAUUCUUGCUAACUUCAUCACCCACUACAACAGAUAUUCACUAGGAAUUUGUUCAGAGUCUAUUAAAUUGAUCAACUGUCAAUUCUGAGUAAAUACCUAGUGAUCACUUCAUCUACCCAGUCAUGUUAAGUGUUAUGAUGAUAAUCAGGCAACAUCAACUGUUUACAUUGCCUUUCUGAGGCCAUCAACAUCAAGUCACUCUCUCUCUCUCUCUCUCUCUCGCCAUCAUCAUCAUCAUCAUCAUCAUAUACUGGGUUUUUAUCAUUUAUCCACGUAGACAAUUAUCUUUUUUUCUCUUCUCUUACUUUACUUUUUAUUUCUUCUCAGCUCCUCCUUGAUUGAUCUAUUUAAUCACCAGCCUUGUGUUUUUGCUUAUAUAUUUUCUGUUAUCCCUUUAAUCCAAUAACAGUUAAAUCAGUGAACCUUUAUUUCUGUUAAUUGUGAUCUAACUUGUUUCUUUUCUUCCGUUUAAAAAAGCCCAUUCACUAGUCUCUCUCAUCUAAAAUUAAUCUCCAGUAAAAGAAAACAAAUUAUAACCUUUCAUUUUGUUGCCAUGAUUCCAAUAGGAUUUUUGUUAAUUUUCUUAGUCGUUGGUUCAAUUGGUUUCUUUGCCUACAAGUUGAUCCAAUCCUUACAGGAGAAGGAAAAACGCAAAGAGGAAAAAAAGAAACUGAAACAACAGAAAAAAGAUCCAUUAUCCGGAGCAGCGGCAAAAAAGAAAAAGUGA